ACAGAUUUUCGCUAGACAUGUGUUACAUUUAACAUGGUGAAAACAGGGUGUAAACCUUUGUAUCCUAUUCUUCCUGCUGGAUGCACUCCUUUUGUUUUGAAGGAGUAAAUGCUAACAGUUACCACACAGCUGCUUGUGCAAACUAUAGACGAUAGAGUCUGGAGUUCGGCAGACCAGCCAAAACGCCACGGUUGCCUCCUGAUGACCUACAUCUGCUCUCUGCCUGGAGCCAAUAAUGCAAGCAGUAUUUUCAUCACGAAGCAUCUAGAGAGAAAAGAUUUCACAACUUCCUAGAGCACAUUCAAGCUCCCACUGUGUCCUCUGGCGCCAUCGAUAAAUCCCUCUUAUUCGUCUGACUUCAGCCUGCGCACCACAGAGGUGGGUAUAACUCUCCCUCCCUGCCCUUCGUGUUGUAACUGACUGUGAAGUCACAGCUGGCAUGGGGUUUCCAAAAGCAUCACAGCCCAGCAAAAUGGCUGGGAGAGUAGACCCUUGCUGCCAAGCUAGAUGACCUGAGUUUGUUCUCUGGGAACCAUGUGAUGAAAGAAAAUAUAAAACUGACUACUAAGGGUUGUUCUCUGACCACCACAUGCAUACUGUGGUACACAUGUGUGCACACAUUCGCAGAGUAAGUAAAUAAUUGUAACUAAAAUUUGAAAUGUAAUGACCAGAGGUGUUUCCUCAUGCCUGCAAUUCAAGCACCCAGGAGGCAGAGGCAGGAGGAUUGUUAAGAGGUUAAAUUUAGCUUGGGCUUACAUACAUAUUGAGUUUAAGGCACGUCUCGGCAACUUUCUAAGACACUGAAAAAACACUGUGAAAAUCAUGAAGAUGUAUUUGCAAAUGAGAUAAAGAGGGCUAAUGCUGGUAACUUAACUGUAUGAAAAUACUGUUUACAUAUGUGUUGUCCUCAGAUGUGCACAGAUAAGCUCUGACAUCUGUAAGUACUUAGGCAGAACACAAACGAAUGAACAAACAAACAAACAAACAAAAACUACCAGUUUUGUUUUGUUUUUGUUUUGUUAAGAAAUUUACUUAGCACUUUAAAAUUUUAGCUAGACUUUUAACUGAAACAAAAUCUUAAAAAAAUUACACAUUCUUAUUGGACACACUGGGGUAGGUGUACAUUGUGUGUUCAUUGAAUAAGUAAACACAUUUGUGCCCUCAAAUGCUUGUCAUUUCUUGGGACACAUUCAAAGUCUCUCUCAUAGGUUUUGAGAGUAUGGUACAUUGUGUCUCUAUGUGGUUGCCUGACGUGCAAUACCAGAGUGUCUGAUUCCUAUCUAACUCAGUCCCCACUGAUCAUCCUUUUCCUCCUCCCUCAUGUCCCCAGUCUCCUGUCACUACCAUCCCACUCCCGAUCUCUAUGGCAUCCACUGACUUUCUGAUAUUCUCUGUGAGGGAGCCACACAGUCCCAUCUCUCUGUGCCCAACAGUUUCAUUUAGCUUAACUGCUUGCGGUUUCAUACACGCUGCAAAUCACGGGGUUUUAUUCUUCUUUUUAUGG
rnacentral:lncRNA from 1 species